rnacentral:rRNA from 1 species
CCCUUAGAUGUUCUGGGCCGCACGCGCGCUACACUGAUGCAUUCAACGAGUCUAAAACCUGGUCUGAUAGGGCUGGGUAAUCUUUUGAAUGUGCAUCGUGAUUGGGAUAGAUGAUUGCAAUUCUUCAUCUUCAACGAGGAAUGCCUAGUAAACGCAAGUCAUCAGCUUGCGUUGAUUACGUCCCUGCCCUUUGUACACACCGCCCGUCGCUCCUACCGAUUGAAUGGUCCGGUGAAGCGUUCGGACCGUGGCCUUUGGACGGUUCGCCGUCUGUUGGCUGCGGGAAGUUCGUUAAACCUUAUCAUUUAGAGGAAGGAGAAGUCGUAACA